GUCCACGCCGUAAACGAUGGAUACUUGGUGUUGGAGGUAUUGACCCCUUCAGUGCCGAAGCUAACGCGUUAAGUAUCCCGCCUGGGAAGUACGGUCGCAAGAUUAAAACUCAAAGAAAUUGACGGGGGCCCGCACAAGAGGUGGAGCAUGUGGUUCAAUUCGAUGCAACGCGAAAAACCUUACCUGGGUUUGAAGUGCUAGUGAAUACGGUAGAGAUAUCGUAGGCCUUCGGGACACUAGUAUCAGGUGCUGCAUGGCUGUCGU
rnacentral:rRNA from 1 species